rnacentral:rRNA from 1 species
ACACAUGCAAGUCGAACGAGCGAGAGAGAGCUUGCUUUCUCAAGCGAGUGGCGAACGGGUGAGUAACGCGUGAGGAACCUGCCUCAAAGAGGGGGACAACAGUUGGAAACGACUGCUAAUACCGCAUAAGCCCACAGGUCGGCAUCGACCAGAGGGAAAAGGAGCAAUCCGCUUUGAGAUGGCCUCGCGUCCGAUUAGCUAGUUGGUGAGGUAACGGCCCACCAAGGCAACGAUCGGUAGCCGGACUGAGAGGUUGAACGGCCACAUUGGGACUGAGACACGGCCCAGACUCCUACGGGAGGCAGCAGUGGGGAAUAUUGCACAAUGGGGGAAACCCUGAUGCAGCGACGCCGCGUGGAGGAAGAAGGUCUUCGGAUUGUAAACUCCUGUUGUUGAGGAAGAUAAUGACGGUACUCAACAAGGAAGUGACGGCUAACUACGUGCCAGCAGCCGCGGUAAAACGUAGGUCACAAGCGUUGUCCGGAAUUACUGGGUGUAAAGGGAGCGCAGGCGGGAAGACAAGUUGGAAGUGAAAUCUAUGGGCUCAACCCAUAAACUGCUUUCAAAACUGUUUUUCUUGAGUAGUGCAGAGGUAGGCGGAAUUCCCGGUGUAGCGGUGGAAUGCGUAGAUAUCGGGAGGAACACCAGUGGCGAAGGCGGCCUACUGGGCACCAACUGACGCUGAGGCUCGAAAGUGUGGGUAGCAAACAGGAUUAGAUACCCUGGUAGUCCACACCGUAAACGAUGAUUACUAGGUGUUGGAGGAUUGACCCCUUCAGUGCCGCAGUUAACACAAUAAGUAAUCCACCUGGGGAGUACGACCGCAAGGUUGAAACUCAA